rnacentral:rRNA from 1 species
UCUUGGUCAUUUAGAGGAAGUAAAAGUCGUAACAAGGUCUCCGUUGGUGAACCAGCGGAGGGAUCAUUACCAGAGCUCUCUCGCGAGACUCCCAAACCAUUGUGAACCUUACCCCCGUACGCGUUGCUUCGGCGGGCGUCCCCUUCUACCGGAGGGGACGCGGCCCCUCGGGGUGCCCGCCGGCGGCCGACCAAACUCUUGAUAUCCCAGUGGACUCUCUGAGAAAACAAACCAAUAAGUUAAAACUUGCAACAACGGAUCUCUUGGUUCUGGCAUCGAUGAAGAACGCAGCGAAAUGCGAAAAGUAAUGUGAAUUGCAGAAUUCAGUGAAUCAUCGAAUCUUUGAACGCACAUUGCGCCCGCCAGUAUUCUGGCGGGCAUGCCUGUCCGAGCGUCAUUUCAACCCUCAAGCCCCGCUUGGUGUUGGGGUCCUACGGCUGCCGUAGGCCCUGAAAGCUAGUGGCGGGCUCGCUACCACUCCGAGCGCAGUAACGCAUCUCGCUAGGGACGUGUGUGGCGGGUUCCGGCCGUGAAACCCCCCCCAUUUUCACAAGGUUGACCUCGGAUCAGGUAGGAAUACCCGCUGAACUUAAGCAUAUCAAUAAGCCGGAGGA